GACGAACCGUGCGAACGUUGUUCGGAUUCACUGGGCUUAAAGGGCGCGUAGGCGGGCGGUCAAGUCAGGGGUGAAAUCUUUCGGCUCAACCGGAAAAGUGCCUUUGAUACUGGCCGUCUCGAGGGAGGUAGGGGCAUGCGGAACUUCCGGUGGAGCGGUGAAAUGCGUAGAUAUCGGAAGGAACGCCGGUGGCGAAAGCGGCACUCUGGGACGGUACUGACGCUGAGACGCGAAAGCGUGGGGAGCGAACAGG
rnacentral:rRNA from 1 species